GGCACAGCACGCCCCAGCAUCCGCUCUCCGGCGCCCUAGCCUUACACAACAUCACGCACACCCACUUACACCCACUUACACACACAGGCACAGGCACAGGCGUCAUGUUUCACGCACAGCGUACACCGCCACACCCAGCUGUGCCCGUGCAGUAGGCCUCAGCCCUGCUCGCUCCUAAUUAGCCGCUACUUCUGCAUGAAUGCGGCAUCAUCAAGGCUGCCGCAUGCGUACAUACAUUUCGUUGACGCGAGAGCAUGUUUGCACUUGCCCCCUUACACACGCUCCUUAUGUAAGGAGCCCUAGUGCGGCCUGGCAGUAUGUAGAUGCAAUCUGGAGAACCCCAAGCAACCAGACGCUUUCUCCAGCCCAAUACAAUAUUCUGGCUCCUAUUAAAGGGAAAGAAACCCGAUUGCAGCUGGUUGUAUCAUCCAUCCAGCUCCCUGCAUGUCUGUUGGACCAUGACCAUCUUGCAGUUCCACAGCCGCAAACUCAAACGGUAUGCAUGGACUCCCAGCCGGUGGCUGAGCCUGCAUGCCACGCAAGGUGAUGAUGGCAGCACAGCUAAGGCUUGGUACGUACCUGUAUGCAUGGCAUGGGGAUCGUGGGUGGAGGAUACACCUGCCGGUGCAGGAUUACACAUGGCUCCCUGACUGGGUAUGCAAGAUCCAAGAUACCGUCCUGGCUAGUAGUCUGGAUCAUAAAGAGUAAUGUGCUGUGCAAAGCCCCGCAUAACAGCCCCGCACGGCAUGCCUUGUGCCUGUGCUUGAUGAUAUUGGAUUCCCCCCAACAGCCAACUGGAGUUGCACACCUGCACCCAGUUCCAAGCAUGUGAUCUCAUUCCAGCAUUGCAGGCACCUGGACGAGCGGCCAACCUGUCGCAGUGCACCGCAGCAAGAGGACUGCGCCCAGGGCCUGAUGACAUCACCCAGUUUUGAUCUGGGGACCUCCUGUGUGUGAGACAGAUGUGAUUCCACUACACCAUGAUGUCAUAGCUAGGCACAGCACGCCCCAGCAUCCGCUCUCCGGCGCCCUAGCCUUACACAACAUCACGCACACCCACUUACACCCACUUACACACACAGGCACAGGCACAGGCGUCAUGUUUCACGCACAGCGUACACCGCCACACCCAGCUGUGCCCGUGCAGUAGGCCUCAGCCCUGCUCGCUCCUAAUUAGCCGCUACUUCUGCAUGAAUGCGGCAUCAUCAAGGCUGCCGCAUGCGUACAUACAUUUCGUUGACGCGAGAGCAUGUUUGCACUUGCCCCCUUACACACGCUUAAGGAGCCCUAGUGCGGCCUGGCAGUAUGUAGAUGCAACCUGGAGAACCCCAAGCAACCAGACGCUUUCUCCAGCCCAAUACAAUAUUCUGGCUCCUAUUAAAGGGAAAGAAACCCGAUUGCAGCUGGUUGUAUCAUCCAUCCAGCUCCCUGCAUGUCUGUUGGACCAUGACCAUCUUGCAGUUCCACAGCCGCAAACUCAAAUGGUAUGCAUGGACUCCCAGCCGGUGGCUGAGCCUGCAUGCCACGCAAGGUGAUGAUGGCAGCACAGCUAAGGCUUGGUACGUACCUGUAUGCAUGGCAUGGGGAUCGUGGGUGGAGGAUACACCUGCCGGUGCAGGAUUACACAUGGCUCCCUGACUGGGUAUGCAAGAUCCAAGAUACCGUCCUGGCUAGUAGUCUGGAUCAUAAAGAGUAAUGUGCUGUGCAAAGCCCCACAUAACAGCCCCGCACGGCAGGCCUUGUGCCUGUGCUUGAUGAUAUUGGAUUCCCCCCAACAGCCAAUUGGAGUUGCACACCUGCACCCAGUUCCAAGCAUGUGAUCUCAUUCCAGCAUUGCAGGCACCUGGACGAGCGGCCAACCUGUCGCAGUGCACCGCAGCAAGAGGACUGCGCCCAGGGCCUGUUGACAUCACCCAGUUUCGAUCUGGGGACCUCCUGUGUGUGAGACAGAUGUGAUUCCACUACACCAUGAUGUCGAAGCUAGGCACAGCACGCCCCAGCAUCCGCUCUCCGGCGCCCUAGCCUUACACAACAUCACGCACACCCACUUACACCCACUUACACACACAGACACAGGCACAGGCGUCAUGUUUCACGCACAGCGUACACCGCCACACCCAGCUGUGCCCGUGCAGCAGGCCUCAGUCCUGCUCGCUCCUAAUUAGCCGCUACUUCUGCAUGAAUGCAGCAUCAUCAAGGCCGCCGCAUGCGUACAUACAUUUCGUUGACGCGAGAGCAUGUUUGCACUUGCCCCCUUACACACGCUCCUUAUGUAAGGAGCCCUAGUGCGGCCUGGCAGUAUGUAGAUGCAACCUGGAGAACCCGAAGCAACCAGACGCUUUCUCCAGCCCAAUACAAUAUUCUGGCUCCUAUUAAAGGGAAAGAAACCCGAUUGCAGCUGGUUGUAUCAUCCAUCCAGCUCCCUGCAUGUCUGUUGGACCAUGACCAUCUUGCAGUUCCACAGCCGCAAACUCAAACGGUAUGCAUGGACUCCCAGCCGGUGGCUGAGCCUGCAUGCCACGCAAGGUGAUGAUGGCAGCACAGCUAAGGCUUGGUACGUACCUGUAUGCAUGGCAUGGGGAUCGUGGGUGGAGGAUACACCUGCCGGUGCAGGAUUACACAUGGCUCCCUGACUGGGUAUGCAAGAUCCAAGAUACCGUCCUGGCUAGUAGUCUGGAUCAUAAAGAGUAAUGUGCUGUGCAAAGCCCCGCAUAACAGCCCCGCACGGCAGGCCUUGUGCCUGUGCUUGAUGAUAUUGGAUUCCCCCCAACAGCCAACUGGAGUUGCACACCUGCACCCAGUUCCAAGCAUGUGAUCUCAUUCCAGCAUUGCAGGCACCUGGACGAGCGGCCAACCUGUCGCAGUGCACCGCAGCAAGAGGACUUCGCCCAGGGCCUGAUGACAUCACCCAG
rnacentral:lncRNA from 1 species